rnacentral:rRNA from 1 species
AUGCUUGUUGCAACAAAGAGGCAUGCUCUUUAUGAUUUGGUCUACUUAUUCAUCAAAUUGGUAUUGAUUUUACCGGUGUCAACGACUAGUGUUGAAAGAGUAUUUUCGGCAAUGAAUCUAGUGAAAAGUAAAUUUAGGACUAGUAUGACUGAUGAUCGCUGA